UUUUUUCUUCCAUCUCUCUUCAUUGCUGGUGAAUUUAGGAAUUUCUCAUGUAGAAGUUAUAGUUCAUUUUUGUUUUAUCGUAUCUGCUUUGAGUAAGCUUUUUCGGUGCAAUUUGCUAUUCUUAUUGCCCUCUCUGUUGGUAAUAACAAUUUUCUUGGUAUGUGUAAUUUUAUCCUUUUGAUUUUGGGAUUUAUUUUUGAUGAUUUCUGUUCGAAUGGUUUAAUAUGAUCUCUUUUCUAAUUGUUCUUUGAUUAGUAUGUUUGUUAUAACUCUAUGGAGUGGACUUUCUUAGUCUGGAGCAAUACAAUACUUCUUUUCCCCACAAAGUAAUAAAUUUUGUUUGCAAAUCCUAUCCACUUAAGAUUUGUCUAUAAUUAGAUGCUUCUUUCCUCUUCGUUGCACGACAAUUAUUUGAUGUCAUCUGUCCAUUGAAUUAAAAUUUUGAAUCACGUAGUAGCUAUAGGUUACUUCCUUCUUCCAUCAUUUCCUGCAUAUAUCAUCUGGACCUUGGGUAGGAAAGGUGUUUGAUGAUAUGUUUGACUUAUUUUAUUUGAAGUAACAAAGUCCACAAACUUUGUUUUAAUCUUGGUGUUAGGGGAUUUGUGCAUUUUGUUUCCCGCUUGCUGGCGGGAUGCUCAGGUUAACAUUUUGAUAUUGGGUGCAACAUUUAAUCCAUAAAAUUCGGUCAACAUAUUUUUCAGAAUAGGAAGGUAGGAUUUCUCUGAUUAGUGUUUAUUUUCUCUAACCAAGCAUAGUUUGACACAUUGGGCGUAUGCAACUAGAUGAUAUUAAUCUCCUUGGAGAGGAGACAACGGAGAAGAAGGCAGUGGAAGCGAUGGAGGCUGGUAAGAUAUCUACCAAGAAGAAAGAGAGUGAGCUUUGAUAUUUCCUUCUCAGUUGAUUUUGUGUUCCAUUCAUAAUUACUAUGGAAAGAAAAUGCAGAACAUCUUCAAACUUGAAUGUGGAAAAUAUGUUCAUUUGCUCAAGUAAAUCAUCAAUAAGCUUCCUCGUGGUGUUGUUACUUUUGAAGGUGAAAAUUCAUCAAUUUCUUUGGACGUUAAGCCUUGGGAUGACUAAAUCAUAUGAAGAAGCACGAGGAGGUUGUUUGCAAUGUUCAGAUGGAAGGGCUUUUCUGGGGAGCAUGCAUGACUUAUUAUAUCCAUUCAACUCUUUAACCAUGCCCUAACCAUUAUAUAUAUGAGUUUGGUUAUUGACAAGCUGUUUCUGCAUCUCUUUGACAGCCAAAUUAGUUCUAAUCGGCAACGGGAUUAAGAAAUUGCAAAUCAUGCUUACCAUCGUGGAUGACCUGAAAUUUGGGCUGCGUAGAGCCCCAUGUUGUUGGUAAGGAAUCUUGCAGCAGACCGUUUCUCAAUAGAGAUGAUGUUCUUGAAGAAUUUUGCAGCUGAUCUAUAUCUCUAUACAUGGAUGGAGGUGAUGUUUUGUAUUACUCCAUGAUCUUCCACCAAAUGGGAAUUGCCUUUACGUUUGGAAAGAGGAAUUGGUUCAUUUUUUAACUUUUAUGUAAUUUGUAUUGUUUGCAUCUGGAAUCAGAACUCAAAUAUUUUGUUGAUAAUUUUUGUUGGUUUUUGCACUAGAAA